AAUUCGAUUGAGUUUGAUCAUGGCUCAGGACGAACGCUGGCGGCGUGCUUAACACAUGCAAGUCGAACGGUGAUGAGGAGCUUGCUUCUCUGAUCAGUGGCGAACGGGUGAGUAACACGUGAGCAAUCUGCCCUUGACUCUGGGAUAAGCGUUGGAAACGACGUCUAAUACCGGAUACGACUCUUGGAGGCAUCUCUGGGGGUGGAAAGAAUUUUGGUCAAGGAUGAGCUCGCGGCCUAUCAGCUUGUUGGUGAGGUAAUGGCUCACCAAGGCGACGACGGGUAGCCGGCCUGAGAGGGUGACCGGCCACACUGGGACUGAGACACGGCCCAGACUCCUACGGGAGGCAGCAGUGGGGAAUAUUGCACAAUGGGCGAAAGCCUGAUGCAGCAACGCCGCGUGAGGGACGACGGCCUUCGGGUUGUAAACCUCUUUUAGUAGGGAAGAAGCGUAACAGUGACGGUACCUGCAGAAAAAGCACCGGCUAACUACGUGCCAGCAGCCGCGGUAAUACGUAGGGUGCAAGCGUUGUCCGGAAUUAUUGGGCGUAAAGAGCUCGUAGGCGGUUUGUCGCGUCUGCUGUGAAAACCCGAGGCUCAACCUCGGGCCUGCAGUG
rnacentral:rRNA from 1 species